rnacentral:rRNA from 1 species
AACGUAGGUUCCGAGCGUUAUCCGGAUUUACUGGGCGUAAAGCGCGUUCAGGCGGUUUGGCAAGUCGGGCAUGAAAUCUCUCGGCUCAACCGGGAGAGGUUGUCCGAUACUGCUGGACUUGAGGGCAGUAGAGGGUGGUGGAAUUCCGGGUAUAGUGGUGAAAUGCGUAGAUAUCCGGAGGAACACCAGUGGCGAAAGCGGCCACCUGGACUGCACCUGACGCUGACACGCGAAAGCUAGGGGAGCGAACGGG